UGGGGAUGACGUCAAGUCCUCAUCGGCCCUUACAUCCCGGGCUACACACGUGCUACAAUGGCAGGUACAGAGGGCUGCGAAGCCGCGAGGUGGAGCGAAUACCCAGAAAACCUGUCUCAGUCCGGAUUGGAAGUCUGCAACUCGACUUCAUGAAGGCGGAAUCGCUAGUAACCGCGAAUCAGCAGGUCGCGGUGAAUACGUUCCCGGGCCUU
rnacentral:rRNA from 1 species